CGCGUGCUUUGCUUGAUGGGCAGGAAACUCUGUGUGUAUAGUUGACAUGAUAAGAGUAAUAUUAAAGUUAAGAUAUACCUCUAGGUUUUAUCAUUAAAACAGGUCUUUGUGAAGUUUGUUUGGUGUAUUUUUUUUUUCUUUUCUUCACAGAGCUGAAUGUCAUGGUGAUUGUGAAACACGAGACCGAAACACUUCGCCUGUAUGGUUUUAUGGUGAAAUUUAUUAUUUUAGUGUUAACUCAGGUCUAUUUUGAUUAUGAACCAAACACUUCUCUGCUCCUGCUAUGCGCGCUGUGUGAAUGACGCCCAUUUCUCCGAGUUUUUUUUUUUUUUCCUUGGAGAUUUUAUUAUCUAGUAGGAGGAACAAAUACCAGGAGUGCUUGAGAUACCAGUGAAAGGGCUGAAGUGUUUGAGGACGUGAAGUAACGGUCAGCUGGAGACUGAUUUUCUCUGGGAAUUUAAUAUACAUCACCAUUAGACUUAGAAAGCAGCUACUUGCGGUUUUCUAACAUGCAGCUAAACUGGACACUUCUUUUGGGUCUCUUUCUGCCAUCAUGCAGUGGAUGUUCCAUUGGAUUUAAACUUGUUAAAAACACAUGUGUUGGUAAUGUUGUCUUUGUGGUUUGAUUGAAUAGUGCAAAAGUAACAGUUUGACUGUUACAAUGUUUUUAAUGGUCUGUAUGUCACUGAAAAGAGGGAGUUUGUGUUACGUGGAUUCCCCUCAUCUGUCUGCCUCUCUUACAGAUGUGGAUGAGUGUGCGAUUUUUCCAAGUGUGUGUGAUUAUCAUACUCCGUGUGUAAAUACAGUUGGAAGUUACUACUGUAGGUGUAUUGAAAGAGUAGAUGGGGGCUUCCCGUGUGCAUGUAUGAAGCAUUUAAUUAUUCAUUUAGCAUAAACUUUGAUCCAAAAUGAAUUAUAAUUCAUGCCAACUGCUGUCUUUCCCCCUGUCAGAUAUAAACAGUUAUCCAGAGAGCGACUACUAUGCCGACUUUGAUUUAAUCCAGUUUAAGAUCUCAACUGACUCCGAAGCAGAAUGUGAAGGUGUCUUUUAUUUUUUCUGGCCUAUGUGUUAAACAAAAGCUACCAGUUUGGACUGUAUAAUGCUGAUGCUGCACUGAUGCCAACACCAACAUCGCAUCAAAUCAGCUAAAUGGAUUGUGAUCAUUUUGAACCUACAACACACUAGAGAAGUUGAAGCAUUUGAUGUUACUGUUGAAGAGCGUCUCUGAAUGAUCCACGUGGAGAACAUUUCACUGGAGAGGAGUUACUGGAGGUCAAUCACACACUGAACGAUAUAAAUUCAUAUAGAAGUAUGUAAGCAGAAAGCAUAUUUCGAGAACAAUCAGAUGGCCUAAACAACAGGUUAAAUAUUAGCUUCUUGCUGUUGCAAAUUUACCAAGUACCAGUACUUGCAGUACAACCAAUAGCUAAAAGAAACAAGCAGGUCUAGCAACAAACAUGAUACUGAGCACUAGAUAAGCCCUAAAAGCAAGCAAAAUCCCAAUACCCUAACAGCUUUAAAGCAAAGACCUUCUGAAAUAGCGUAGACUGCGGCAGCAUGCCCUUUAAGAAGAAGAGAAGCAGCGAAGGGGUGCUCUUCUUUAAUCAGCAGCUAAUCUAUGGUCAAUACCCGACGUUUAGGCAGCAGCAUGUUGCCCUUAUCCAGAUAAUCGUUAGCAUUAAUAACCUUUGGUAGCAAAAUCUACAUACUGCCCGU